rnacentral:lncRNA from 1 species
UUUUAGCAUAUUAUUUUCUUAUCUUUACUUUGGAUUUUUACACUCUUGUGUUAGGCAUUUUAUUGAAGAGUUAUUUUGAUUUGUAAGUGAGGAACUUGGGUGAGUGAAUGUAACAUUUGGGUACUUUGUUGGGGCUGCAAUUAUCCGUUGUGUAAGGGUACAUUGAACUUUAGCCAAUAGGAUUUUGAUCCAUUUUUGAAUAAAAUCAUUCACUGAGUGAGACUUUGUAGAGUACGAUUGGUG